rnacentral:lncRNA from 1 species
CCCUAUACGAGACACUGGAGAGUCCCCAUAGGGGGGGCUGCAAGUGGGAUUCAGCCCUAUAGGGGACCCCACAGACCCGUUGCCAUGGGGCUCAGCCCUAUAGGGGACACUGGAGAGUCCCCAUAGGGGGGGCUGUAGGGAGACACAGCUGGGGCUCAGCCCUAUAGGGGACCCCACAGACCCGUUGCCAUGGGGCUCAGCCCUAUAGGAGACACUGCAGAGACCCCUUGCUGUGGGUCUCAGCCCUACAGAAGACCCUAAAGACCCUUUGCCAUGGGGCUCAGCCCUAUAGGGGACCCCAGAGACCCCUUGCUGUGGGGCUCAGCCCUAUAGGGGACCCCUUACUACUGAUCCCCAUAGCACUCCGUCCACACUAUAGGGAACCCUAUAGAUCCCAAUAGCUUCCCUGUACC